CCGUAGUUGUUCUCCUGCGUUAAUCUUUCGUAGAAAGAUCGGAAUUGGUUCUUGAGAUGCUAGUUCUCUUUCUUUAUACAUAGACUUUUGCGAUGAGUUUUGAUUCCUCUUCGUAUGCUUUUUGAUCGUGUGAUAGUUCUCGUUUCUUUCUUCUUUAUGGUUCUUGAUUUUGCAUUCGACGCUUCGAUCCAAGUUGUUUUUGUCGGUUCUUUCUCUUGAUGCUUCUUGAUUCUGCAAUAUGUUGUUUUCCUUUGUAUCUUGUUUCUUCUUCAUCAUGAUUCUUGAUAUUGUGCUAAAUGUUGGUUAGUUUCUUUACGUUCCUUAGUUCAUAUUAUACGAACGAGUUCUUUAAUUUGUGUUCUGGUUGAUUCUACUUUGGGCCCGCUUACAUCGAUGUUGAUUGAUUGGCUGCUAGUGUAAUGAUCCAUGAUGUAGCUUAAUCAGUUCAUGAUUGAGUUAGUGUGGCUUCGGAUAAGGAACUUGGAACUUAGUGUCGUUUUUCCUAUUUUCCCCUUCUGAGCUUCCAACAGAAUACCAUGCAUCAAGACUUUGGGCAGUGGAUCACAUACAUUGGGCAACCAACCCAGGUUAUCAGACUCACGGUUCAUUUUGUGGCGUAGCAGUUAAUCUCCAAUUAGUCUCGAGUAGAUUACUGCAUUUUGUGGCACAACAGUUAAUCUGUAAUUAGUCUCAUUGUGGAGUAACAUAUAUGUAUCUAGAAACAUCAUCUCAUACCAUAAGUCAUAGAAUAGGUUUCAUAUAAAUUACAAGUCAUUAUGAUUAAGGGCUAGAAAAAUCGUAUAUAUAAAUGACUGUAGAGAUACAAUAUAUGUAGACGCGUAUGUAUGUAUAUAUACACGAUUGGGGUGGGUUUGUUCGUGCUCUAAUUGGAUGCGGCUUGGGAUGAGGGUCAAACCUUAACCCAACCCAACCGAUUUAAUUCGGAUCGAGAAAUAUAGAAAAUAUAAUUUGGCUAACCCGACCCGACUAACUGAUCUGAUGAUUUGGUCGGGCGGGAUGGGUACGUAACUGACCCCACUAGGAUCCGAACCACUUUGAUGCAUGGUGGGGCCCUCUCUCGGCUCUGGGUGAGGGUAGGAGGAGGGUAUGGAAGAAAUAAUCUUUUUCACAAGGGUGAUCUAGAAAAUUCCAUUCAAUCAACGAUUCGGGUUCUCUCGAGUCGGUUUGGUUCUUGUGUCCUUGCUCCUUUUUAUACAUAUAGUGGUAGUAGUGGUAAGAGAUAAAAUGAGACGGAUGGUUGUUGGCUGCGAUCAUCGAGAGAGAGCGGAGAUCUCCACGGCGAUCGAUCUGAAUGCGUCGGCUGUGGACGAGGUGUAUUGAGGGCGGUGAGGAGUUCGAUCUGGAGGUGACAUGGGCCAUGAUCACCUCCCUAGCCACAAUGUCAUGGCUACUCCGAGAGUGGUUUCCCUCUCCACAAUGUCACCGUCCCUAGCCUCGCUUAGGCCAUCGAUCACCGCACAACUAGCGCGUUGCCGUGUCAUCCGCGGACGUUGACUCCGAUGAGAAUGUGGUGGUCGCGGACGAAAACCUCGAGGGUUGGGGCGGUGCAUUCGUUGAUGUUGACCGGGAAGAUGGUCCAAUUCAUUUUGGUGCUUUGUCGUCUUGCUCCUCCACAACGUCACCACCGCCUCCGCCGAGGAUGGAUCGAGGCCUAGGAUGGCGCGUUCGACGAGGUCGAUCGGGCCACCCUCUAUGGUACGAAUCUUGGCUCGAUUUCUCCCUUUUCACUCCCUUUUGAGGUUGUCUUUGGUUGUGUUCCUGCGUUCUUUGGUAGUCUUAUCAAGUGGUUCUUGAGAUGCUGGUCCGUUUUCUUUAUAAUUUUCAAUAGGUAUUUAUUCCCCUUCGCCUCUGAUCAUGUGGUAGUUCUUGUUUCUUUUUCCUUAAUAGUUCUUGAUUUGACGGCAGAUUUUGGUUCUUUUCCUUUAUGCUUCUUGAUCUGACGAUGGGUCUAGUUUCUUUUUCUUUAUGCUUCUUGGUUUUGCAUAAGAUGGUCGGAUUCAUAUUGAUGCUAUCUCUUUCUCUAUCCUUCAUCAUGCAUCUUGAUAUUGCACAAGAUGCUGGUGCUGGUUCUGUUUUUAUGCAUCUUAAUUGCAAUGUAUAAAUUAGCUCUUUAAUCUGUAGGCCGGUUGAUCUUUUGGGGGUUGCCUACAACGAAGUUGGUCGAUUAGCUACUAGUGUCAUAAUUCAAGAGUUAGCUUAAACGAGUUUAUAAUUACUGUCUCCAAUUGCUCCCGUUGUGAAGUAACAUCUGCGUAACUGGUAACACUAGGUUCAAGAGCAGGACACGGAAGUAUGAGAAUUAGUUGAAUGACACAAGACAGAAGAUAAAUAAAAGAUUCGGAACCAACCAAACAUAUGGAGGAGAUUUUUAAAUGAACACCAAAAGACUGUGUAAAGAAAAACUGACAACAUAAUACAAAAUGAAAUAUUAAGCCCGAAUUGACAUGAUUUUAAAAGUGUCAUUUUAAUUAUCUAGACCUGAUCUAUGCCCCAGCGUUCAAACUUGGAUUCCAUAAAUUGUUUCUCCUGAUCAAGAUCAAUUUACCUGAACUUAAACUUGCGACUCGUUCUUGAUUCUAGUCCUUAAAUAAUCCUUGGUAAUUAGGUUGGAUUGAGAUAUAUCUAAAUAACUCGUGGUAAUUAGGUUGGAUUGAGAGUUGGGAUGCAUGCGUUGGAUUUGAUCCUUAACAUAGAGCUUAAACUUUUGAAUUGAAUUGGAGUUGAAUUUAAUGUAUAAACUCAUUAUUAUUCAAUUUAUAACAUGGAGACUUUUAAAAGAAUAUUCAUCCUUAAAUUAUCAAAAAUUGGGAUAAAGCGUCUAUGAACUUGGGAUAUUACUUUUGACCACCAAAUUCUGUUGUUGAUUUGCUGUUCUUAGUGGUAAUUGGAUUGGUUAUUUACCAAAUUUGCGUUUGACAAGGGGCUGAUUUGCUUUUGACCAGCAAAUUCUUAGAGGACAUUUUGGGUUAUUUUAUUGUCGUUUGCUAUGUCAUUCCCAUGAUUUUCUUGCAAAAUAAAAUCAAUGAACCAAGGAAGGACAUUAAAAAAAGAAAAAGCGAAGAGGGCAAAAUUUAGGAUAGAUUUCUUGCUUUGAGCUAAUGGCAGUCCAAAGCAAAAAGCAUCGUUAUUAAAUUCACAGCCACGGGAAAUCACUUUAUCGGACAUCGGCCAAAAUGGCUCGCUAGAAAAAUAACUUCCAAGUGAAAAUUCUAGAGAGUUUUUUUUUUCACUUAUUUUGUUUUGGACGGUGAAAAUUCUGUCGCAGUUAGAUAUUUUUCUUCCACGCCAAUUGCAAUAAAUUUGAGUUAGAUAUUUCAAAUUUUUUCAGUUACGUUAACGACUUUGUAAAACGUAAACGCAAAGAAAUAGUUCAAACCUGAAGUAAAGAAAUUUUUUCCAACUUUGUAUGCAGUUUUUGUCAUUGACUCAAAAUGCAAAUUUUCAAAUAUUUUUUGAAAUGAUUGCAAUAUAGUUCAAUUUUUUCUCUCA